ensembl:lncRNA BCORP1 BCL6 corepressor pseudogene 1
AGGAAAGAGAGUAUUUCUUCUGGGUGUGGCCAACCCGGAUUUGUAGUUCCCAGGCCGGUGUUCCCGUAUGGUCUCACUCUGUCAUGCAUGAUGGACUGCAGUGGUGCAAUCAUGGCUCACUGUAGCUUCGACCACCCUGGCUCCGGUCAUCAUCCUACCUCAGCCUCCCAGUGGUGUCAGUCAUCAACCUUGUGAUCACUGAGGAAAAGAUACAAUAAUCCUUGCCUAUCCGACCCAACCAGGAUCCUGAGCCCUCACUUUCUCCCUGCGUUCCUCAUGAUCCAUUUGACUAUAAUGCAGAAAGUUUGUUUAGCUACUGGCUGGUAUCUGUAACUCCUAUGACAGCUCACACUCCUUGAAGAAGAAGAGAGAAAACAGAAGACUUGUCCUGUGGAUAGAUUAUUUCUUCUUCUGUUUGUUUGUUCUUUGUAUGCUCUCGACAACAUCCACAUACACAAAUGCACAUACAUAAACACAGAAACUUUUUCUUAACAUGGACAAUCUGAAAGAGAAAGCAGCACAACAACCAUUUUGGAUGAUCGAGACUAUUUUUAUAUUAUUACAGUACAAUUGCAGAAUGAAUUCAAAAGGGCAAGCCCCUAGCAAUGAUAAUGCUAAAUGGCUGGUGGAUGUAAAUAAUUAGUGGUCAAUAUAUUAUCCAUGAUAUGUGGCAAGUUUGAAAGUUGGAAAUGCAGAAUCCCUGUUCUGGUCAUAUUAUUGUACUUGGAUCUGCUGGGAACCAUUUGAUACUCUGGGAUUCUCAUUGAGAAUCCAGUGAUAGCUAAUGUUGAAUAUUGCUUGCUGCUGGGCAACAGUGACUGUCAAAACAUUCCGUCACCACUUUUUUUUUUCAGUUUAGAAAAAGGGUCUUGGAUGUUGCCUAGGCUGGCCGGAAACUCCUGAAGUCAAGUGAUUCUCCUGUCUUUGCCUUUAGUUCUGGAAGUACUGGGAGUGAACCUCUGCACCAGGAUUUCCCUCACCAUUUUCUGUAAAAUGGCUUACUACAAAGAACAUUUCUGUAGUAUAUUUUUAUGUAUGUAUGUAUUAUGUAUUUAUUUAUUUAUUUAUUUUUGAGACAGAGUCACAAUGCUGCCCAGGCCCUAGUGCAGUGGUGUGAUCUUAGCUUACUGCAACAUCUGCUUCUGUGUUCAAGAGAUUCUCCUGCCUUAGCCUGUGGAGUAGCUGGAAUUACAGGUGCACACCACCAAGCCCGGCUAAUUUUUAUCUUCUUUGGUAGAGACCGUGUACACACACACACACACACACACACACACACACACAUUUAGGUAGAUACGAGGUCUCGCUCACAGCAGCUUCAGCAAACACAGAUUUCUGGUGUUGGAGGACAGAUUUAACUACAGAAAAUUCUGUUGGGCAAUCGGAAGCCUCAAUCUAUACAGACUUUUAGGAGGAGCCUGCCUGUUUGGUUCAAAUUUAGCCAAAAUAUUUUUUUUUUACCACUGAUUCAGUAAAUCUCCUAACUUUGCAGGAACUGGGAUCCUAAAAAUUAUGGAACGAAUUGUAGAAACUCAAGCAACUUUCUCCAAAGCCUAGGGUUCAGCAAGAGUAAGCAAGAGGCACUGAGCCGCUGGAGUCUGCACAUUGAUAAAUUUACUUACAGUCGUAAAUAAAUUGCAUCAUCUUCAGCUAGUAACACAGAGUCUAAUUUUUAUAGCGGCAUACUUGCCUCCACGACUUUCCUAGACACCAGAAAGAAAGGCGAGAGCCAGCCUUAGCCUAAUCAAGAACCAUGAUCCAAAAAGGAGUGGGAGGAACCUAGCGGCCACGUGGGAAUCCCAGCCCUCCUAUUAAGCCUACCCUCUUUGCAAAUUGUGACUGUGAGCUCCUGGUUUACAGAAAUAUAUCCCAGAACUCAAGCAACAUGAGCCACUAUAAUUGUCUCUGGAAGGUGACCCAUUUGCAGAUAGGGACUUCCCUGAAGGUUGGGGCCCUCAUGAGCUAUGCUUUCCACCAAGUUGUCUCUAUAAGGACCAGUUCCAGGACCUCAGGGAGGAAAUUUCACUUUCUGCCUUGGUGGAAUGUGAAGUGAGUGGCUCCCCGGCCACACCCCACCCUCCAUAAAAUAGAAGGUAAAUCCCAACUGCCAAAAGCUUUUUGUCCUCCUCUCAGGGAUACUAAUUAAAGCAGUUGGGCUACUUUUUCAUGCAUUUCAUCUCAAGUUGUCUUUCUGCCUAUCUCCUGAGCCCAGCGAAAGAGUUCCUUAAAAUAACCCUCAAACCUCUGUAGUAAAGGACCACACAAAUAACGAAUGCCAUGAAAAAACAGGGCUAGAGGUUUCAGAGGAUGAGAAAGGAAGAGCAGCCAGAACACUGGCUGUCUAGGUAUGCUACUGGUGCCUGACUCUGCACCUGUGUGUGUCUGUGUGCUGUGUUCCAAUGGCAGAGCAUCGGGGCCACCAGAACUCUCUCAGCUACCGCACAUGGAGAGGGAGGAGUGAUAAAGAGAAAUCAAGAAACUCAGUUUCUUUGAAAUGGAAAUCAAUAAACUCAGUUUCCUCAAAGUUCAAAAUACAUGAGACUGCCUACCCUCCUUGGAAGGCAAGGUGGGGCUUUCUGAAGCAAAUACCAGCUUUAAAAAAAAAUGUAUAUAUAUAUGAAGAUAUAUACAAAAAAAAAAUUUCCCCACAACCAGACAAUCAGAAUCAUCAAACCCAGAAGGGUUAAAGAAAAAGAAAAGGCCCAGGAAAGUAUGAUUGGUGGGGAUCAAAAGUAUCUCUCCACAGUGGUAAAUGAGAAUUCUCAAAAAGAGUAAAAUUAUAAUUCUCAUGCACAUAUAAAAUAAAUAUGUAUUACAGAUUUUACUUAAACCAUAUAGCUCAAAAUUAGCUAACAAGGAAGACAUUAUAACCUGUUCAAAGAGAAGCCAAAGAAGGGAAAUUUAUAUGCUGUAAAGAAAUAUUUAAAGGAAUAUGGCAAAACUGACUCUUAAUAGGAGAUGCCCUAUGUGGUACAUAAUUUGUUUGUGUAUCUACACACAUGAAUUAUUUUGCACUUGUAUCACUAUCUACAACUUACACUGUUGUAAAGUAACUCCCACACAAUCAGAAUCAUAUAACCCAAAAAGGUAUCUUCCCUAACCAAACAAGGUUUUCCAAUAA